UACGAGGGGGUGCAAGCGUUGCUCGGAAUUAUUGGGCGUAAAGGGCAGGUAGGUGGUCUUAUUUGUCUUGUGUGAAAUCCUUGGGCUUAACUCAAGAAGUGCGCAAGAAACGGUAAGACUAGAGUCCCAGAGAGGCUUGUGGAAUUCCCGGUGUAGCGGUGAAAUGCGUAGAGAUCGGGGAGGAACACCAGAGGCGAAGGCGGACAAGCUGGAUGGGCACUGACACUCAACUGCGAAAGCGUGGGGAGCAAACAGG
rnacentral:rRNA from 1 species